AUGCCAGCCCUGUGGAGAUGGUGGUGUCUGCUACUGCUGGAGAAUUACUCCCUUGACAGCCAUGGUCAAGUCUUUGCACAUUGGACAGCGGAGUGCCAGGAGCUGUUGAGUGGAAAUUAUUCCCCAGUGUUGAGGCUGAAGAGAAGGCGCGAGCAGGAUCCUGAGUGUCCACCCUCUGCACCUGCUACAAUCUCACAGUCAAGACAGUGUCUUGCUGAACAAAAGGGCUUCUGUGUUUUCCAGUCAUCAGCAAACUCUGGACAGAGGUGGGUUAAAAAGCAAAAUGAAUAUUUUUUUUUCAACUCUAACAUCUGUUGUGUUUGUAGAGUCUUAUACCCAAAUGUUGAGCCAAUGGAAUGGCUGCAGUGUGAAACCUGCAAUGAAUGGCUACACAGACUGUGUGGGUCCAGUGCACCAUCAGAGUUGGUCGUGCGGCUGUUCAUGUAG
rnacentral:lncRNA from 1 species